rnacentral:rRNA from 1 species
GAUGAACGCUGGCGGCGUGCCUAAUACAUGCAAGUCGAGCGAACAGACGAGGAGCUUGCUCCUCUGAUGUUAGCGGCGGACGGGUGAGUAACACGUGGAUAACCUACCUAUAAGACUGGGAUAACUUCGGGAAACCGGAGCUAAUACCGGAUAACAUGUUGAACCGCAUGGUUCAACAGUGAAAGACGGUCCUGCUGUCACUUAUAGAUGGAUCCGCGCCGCAUUAGCUAGUUGGUAAGGUAACGGCUUACCAAGGCAACGAUGCGUAGCCGACCUGAGAGGGUGAUCGGCCACACUGGAACUGAGACACGGUCCAGACUCCUACGGGAGGCAGCAGUAGGGAAUCUUCCGCAAUGGGCGAAAGCCUGACGGAGCAACGCCGCGUGAGUGAAGAAGGUCUUCGGAUCGUAAAACUCUGUUAUUAGGGAAGAACAAAUGUGUAAGUAACUAUGCACGUCUUGACGGUACCUAAUCAGAAAGCCACGGCUAACUACGUG